UACGUAGGGUGCAAGCGUUGUCCGGAAUUAUUGGGCGUAAAGAGCUCGUAGGCGGUCUGUCGCGUCUGCUGUGAAAACUCAGGGCUUAACCCUGAGCUUGCAGUGGGUACGGGCAGACUAGAGUGCGGUAGGGGAGACUGGAAUUCCUGGUGUAGCGGUGAAAUGCGCAGAUAUCAGGAGGAACACCGGUGGGCGAAAGGCGGG
rnacentral:rRNA from 1 species